rnacentral:rRNA from 1 species
UGCCUCAGUAACGGCGAGUGAAGCGGCAACAGCUCAAUUUGAAAUCUGGCCCUCUCAGGGUCCGAGUUGUAAUUUGUAGAGGAUGCUUCGGGUACGGCUCCGGUUUAAGUUCCUUGGAACAGGACGUCAUAGAGGGUGAGAAUCCCGUAUGUGACUGGCCGCCACGCCCGUGUGAAGCUCCUUCGACGAGUCGAGUUGUUUGGGAAUGCAGCUCAAAAUGGGUGGUAAAUUUCAUCUAAAGCUAAAUAUUGGCCAGAGACCGAUAGCGCACAAGUAGAGUGAUCGAAAGAUGAAAAGCACUUUGGAAAGAGAGUUAAACAGUACGUGAAAUUGUUGAAAGGGAAGCGCUUGCAAUCAGACUUGCCCGCGGGUGAUCAGCCGGUAUUCUUACCGGUGCACUCGCCCGUGGUCAGGCCAGCAUCGGUUUGGGCGGUUGGAUAAAGUCCUCCGGAAUGUAGCUCCCUUCGGGGAGUGUUAUAGCCGGGGGUGCAAUGCAUCCUGCCCGGAUCGAGGACCGCGCUUCGGCUAGGAUGCUGGCGUAAUGGUUGUAAGCGACCCGUCUUGAAACACGGACCAAGGAGUCUAACAUCUAUGCGAGUGUUUGGGUGUCAAACCCAUGCGCGUAAUGAAAGUGAACGGAGGUGGGAACCCUUAAGGGUGCACCAUCGACCGAUCCUGAAGUCUUCGGAUGGAUUUGAGUAAGAGCAUAGCUGUUGGGACCCGAAAGAUGGUGAACUAUGCCUGAAUAGGGUGAAGCCAGAGGAAACUCUGGUGGAGGCUCGCAGCGGUUCUGACGUGCAAAUCGAUCGUCAAAUUUGGGUAUAGGGGCGAA